rnacentral:rRNA from 1 species
AAUAUUGGACAAUGGGGGCAACCCUGAUUCAGCCAUGACGCCUGUGUGAAUAAGGUCUUCGGAUUGUAAAGCACUUUCAGUUGGGAGGAAGGGCUUUAGGUUAAUACGCUGAAGUUUCGCCGUUACCAACAGAGUAAGCACCGGCUAACUCAGUGCCAGCAGCCGCGGUAAUACGGAGGGUGCAAGCGUUAAUCGGAAUUACUGGGCGUAAAGCGCGCGUAGGUGGUUCAGUAAGAUGGGUGUGAAAUCCCCGGGCUUAACCUGGGAACUGCCUUCAUAACUGCUGAGCUAGAGUACGGUAGAGGGUAGUGGAAUUUCCUGUGUAGCGGUGAAAUGCGUAGAUAUAGGAAGGAACACCAGUGGCGAAGGCGACUACCUGGACUGAUACUGACACUGAGGUGCGAAAGCGUGGGGAGCAAAC